rnacentral:tRNA from 1 species
GGGGGCAUAGCUCAGCUGGGAGAGCGUCUGGUUCGCAAUCAGAAGGUCGGCAGUUCGAUCCUGCCUGUCUCCA